GUACUGAACUAAAUAAUAGAGGCAUCUAGUGAAAUAAUACAAACAGAGACACCAUGGUAUUAUUGGUCUAGAAUCAAUGUCUCGACCUCUAAUACUGCCAGCAUCUCUCCUGUAUUGAUGAAGAUGACAACCAACUGAAACACCGAUUACAGGGAUCAGAUUUCUGAAUAUGCGCAGAAGAGUUGUUCACCCGGAACUCUAAAAAAUCUCCGGGUCAUCGGCAAGGUAAACCGAGUCUUCUUGUUCACUGAAACAAGGACUGAAAACCAGAACUAAGACUUCCUGAAGAUAUGUUGCUACUGGGGAACAUGUCUGGUCCAGAGGGAUAGAUCAUCCAAAGAAUUCUAAAUGGUGAAGCCAGACGUGUUAUGGCCGAUGGAUGCUCAAAUAAAAGACGAUACCUAACUCUUGUUACUUGGAUAUUAAUGGCAUUUAACAUAAAAAUAAUAAUUUGUCAACAGCGAUGUCCACCAGGACCUUUGGUAUUGAUUGCUGAACAGUUUCCGAAGUUCGCCAGCACACCCAACUAUCCUAAUAAGUA